UACAUGGGGUGCAAACGUUGCUCGGAAUUAUUGGGCGUAAAGCGCGCGUAGGCGGUUACUCAAGUCGGAUGUGAAAGCCCUCGGCUUAACUGAGGAAGUGCACCCGAAACUGAGUAGCUAGAGUACCAAAGAGGGUCGCGGAAUUCCCGGUGUAGAGGUGAAAUUCGUAGAUAUCGGGAGGAACACCGGUGGCGAAGGCGGCGACCUGGGUGGAUACUGACGCUGAGGAGCGAAAGCGUGGGGAGCGAACAGG
rnacentral:rRNA from 1 species